rnacentral:rRNA from 1 species
GACGAACGCUGGCGGCGUGCUUAACACAUGCAAGUCGAACGGAAAGGCCCUGCUUUUGUGGGGUGCUCGAGUGGCGAACGGGUGAGUAACACGUGAGUAACCUGCCCUUGACUUUGGGAUAACUUCAGGAAACUGGGGCUAAUACCGGAUAGGAGCUCCUGCUGCAUGGUGGGGGUUGGAAAGUUUCGGCGGUUGGGGAUGGACUCGCGGCUUAUCAGCUUGUUGGUGGGGUAGUGGCUUACCAAGGCUUUGACGGGUAGCCGGCCUGAGAGGGUGACCGGCCACAAUGGGACUGAGAUACGGCCCAGACUCCUACGGGAGGCAGCAGUGGGGAAUAUUGCACAAUGGGCGGAAGCCUGAUGCAGCAACGCCGCGGGCGGGAUGACGGCCUUCGGGUUGUAAACCGCUUUCGCCUGUGACGAAGCGUGAGUGACGGUAAUGGGUAAAGAAGCACCGGCUAACUACGUG